CCACACCUGAGGAACGACAACACACACGUCACCUCACACUGCAAGCUCCACCCACCAACCGACCAGUCUGCUCAGCUUCUUCUGUGAUUGGCUGACGGCUAAGCGCACAUGUAGGAAAGGCCACGCCCCCAGAACCACGUUAACAAUCGUUGACCCAAACUAGACAUGUGGUCAGCAAGAUGACACACACACACACACACACACCCUUCAGGUUGUGGGCGUGGCUGAAGGCGUGGACAUCAGGGACCUGGUAAACCAGACCAUGGUUCCACCAGUUGGUUUGGGGCAGAUCUCGACAUCGCGGCGCCUUCAGGACGAUGAGGACAGCUCCGGCCAACAUCCCCAACCAACCGAGCCAAAACACGAGCAGCAGCGUCCAGCGGGUCCUGACCCAGCUGAGCAGAGGAGGCGGAGUUACAACAACCAUUGACUCCAAUAGAAACAUAUUUAUGUCAGCUAACUACACGCUAACCGUCAGCUAACUACACGCUAACUGAAAGUUAACUACACGCUAACUUUCAGCUUACUACACACUAACUGCCCGCUAACUGUCCGCUAACUACAUGCAAACUGUCAGCUAACUACUGGCUAAUUGUCCACUAACUACAUGCUAACUGUAAGCUAACUACAUGCUAACUGUCAGCUAACUACAUACUAACUUUCAGCUAACUACUGGCUAAUUGUCCACUAACUACAUGCUAACUGUAAGCUAACUGUCAGCUAACUACAUACUAACUUUCAGCUAACUACUGGCUAAUUGUCCACUAACUACAUGCUAACUGUAAGCUAACUACAUGCUAACUGUCAGCUAAUUACUGGCUAAUUGUCCACUAACUGUCAGCUAACUACAUGCUAACUGUCAGCUAGUUACUGGCUAAUUGUCCACUAACUGUCAGCUAACUACAUGCUAACUGUCAGCUAAUUACUGGCUAAUUGUCCACUAACUACGAGCUAACUGUCAGCUAAUUAACCCGCCCCGCCCCACACACAUACACACACCCCUCACCCCGGGGUUCCCGCCACCCGCAGCAGCUCCUCUUUGCUCAGACCAGUGAACUUCGCCUCCUCCGCCUCCUCCUCCUCCUCUGGAAUCUUCAGCUUCACGGAGCCGUUCUUCUCCGCCACUGCAUCUCCUCCGGCGUUGACAGCAUCCUCGGGCCGCUCCCCUUCUCCUCCUCCUCCUCCCCCUCUUCUUCCUCCAUCUCCAUCUCCUCCCCCUCCUCCACCAUCUCCUCCUCCGGUCAUCGGCAGCUUCUCUUGCUCUUCCAGGUCCAGGUCCGCCUCGCUCACAUCGGCCUCCGUUGCGUCUGCGUCCGCUGAAGCCGCAGGAGGAGGCGCGUCCUUCGGCUUCUCAUCUGCAGUGAGAGCGUCCACGUUCGUCUCCUCCGUGUUCAUACCGAGGAUCUACCGACACUGACCGAGGACCUACCGACACUGACCGAGGACCUACUCUACCGACACUGACCGAGGAUCUACCGACACUGACCGAGGACCUACCGACACUGACCGAGGAUCUACCGACACUGACCGAGGACCUACCGACACUGACCGAGGAUCUACCGACACUGACCGAGGAUCUACCGACACUGACCGAGGACCUACCGACACUGACCGAGGAUCUACCGACACUGACCGAGGAUCUACCGACACUGACCGAGGAUCUACCGACACUGACCAGAGAAUCCUCGCGCAGACUGACCGCAGUGAUGAGUCCGUGUCCGCUGCUCUGUCAGCUCUGUCAGCGCUGCUGCGUUUAAGUUUGUCGGAAAUAUGAAAACUACAGUUACUCCUCAUUUAAAAAAAUAUAUAUUAUUACAAUUAUCCCGCGUAUUUAAUGCUGCGCACUAUGAAUGUGAUACACCAUAAUAAUCCCGUGUUCCGUCAUUAUUAUUAUUAUGUUUAUUAUUAUUGCUGUGGCCCUUUUCUGACAAAAGGAGGUUAAUAAAUCAGAUAUCCGAGUGCACGUGAAGGCAGCACGAGAGGAGCGGUCCAGAGAUGCUGCAGCAUCAGCACGUGACACGUUUUGAAUGUAUUCAUGUGUUCAUGACAUCACUAAUGUUUCGUUCUUUUACGUUUUUAUUGUUCACUCGUUUCAUUUAAAACAAACACACUUCACAGUG